rnacentral:rRNA from 1 species
AUUGAACGCUGGCGGCAGGCCUAACACAUGCAAGUCGAGCGGAUGAAGGGAGCUUGCUCCUGGAUUCAGCGGCGGACGGGUGAGUAAUGCCUAGGAAUCUGCCUGGUAGUGGGGGAUAACGUCCGGAAACGGGCGCUAAUACCGCAUACGUCCUGAGGGAGAAAGUGGGGGAGCUUCGGACCUCACGCUAUCAGAUGAGCCUAGGUCGGAUUAGCUAGUUGGUGGGGUAAAGGCCUACCAAGGCGACGAUCCGUAACUGGUCUGAGAGGAUGAUCAGUCACACUGGAACUGAGACACGGUCCAGACUCCUACGGGAGGCAGCAGUGGGGAAUAUUGGACAGUGGGCGAAAGCCUGAUCCAGCCAUGCCGCGUGUGUGAAGAAGGUCUUCGGAUUGUAAAGCACUUUAAGUUGGGAAGAAGGGUAGUAAGUUAAUACCUUGCUGUUUUGACGUUACCAACAGAAUAAGCACCGGCUAACUUCGUG